rnacentral:rRNA from 1 species
AAGGGCACCACAAGAACGCGUGGAGCAUGUGGCUUAAUUUGACUCAACGCGGGAAAUCUUACCGGGUCCGGACACACUGAGGAUUGACAGGCAAUAUUAAUACUUUGCUUCGGCAUUGUAUUAUGUUAAAUAUGCUAGUCCUUUCAUGAUUAUGUGAUAGGUGGUGCAUGGCCGUUCUUAGUUCGUGGAGUGAUCUGUCUGCUUAAUUGCGUUUCACUAAGGGCCUAUAAAUUUACGUAUGUUGUAUCGCACUUUGACCCCUUUCUUUAAUUAGAAAGCGCGUGUCUUAGUUUCGCUUUGCUCAUACAAUUAGGUCCUGAAAGCAACGAACGUGACCGCAACCUCUUGUUGCCUUUAUACCAAACAUGUUUAUUCAUUUUUUAAUGUUCAUUCAUGAAAAAAGGCUUUUUAAACUAGAGGGACCGCUGUUACUUUCUUAAACCAGAGGAAGGUUGCGGCAAUAACAGGUCUGUGAUGCCCUUAGAUGUUCCGGGCUGCACACGUGCUACAAUGAUUAUUGCAGUGAGCAUCUCAUUUUUACACACCGCAUGCGCGAGUCCAUUUAUUCACCUUCGGGUGUUUUAAAUGUGUACCUCUGCGCGCGGUAAAGCCUGCUUCGAAAGUAAGUGGGUAAUCAAUUAGAAGUAAUGAUUUCCUUUUUUAGCACACAUAUAUACGGCGUCUAUGCCCGGGUUACCUUGUUGUAGCUUUUGUGUGUAUAGAUGUUUUUUCCGUAUGUGCGAUUGUCAAUUCAUGGUGGGGACAGACCAUUGUUAAUUGUUGGUCUCGGUCUUAACUAGGAAUGCCUUGUACGGGUCUUUGGUUCAACAAACCACCCGGAAUACGUCCCUGCCCUUUGUACACACCGCCCGUCGCUCUUACCGAUGGACUUCUCUGUGAGUUUGAGGGACUGGGAACGCAGGAAUUUAUUUCUGCACACCUAUGGAAACUUAAACGAACAGUGUGGUCUAAAGGAAAGAGAAGUCGUAACAAGGCAUA